UGGGGAAUAUUGCACAAUGGGCGCAAGCCUGAUGCAGCAACGCCCCGCGAGGGACGAAGGCCUUCGGGUUGUAAACCUCUUUUAGUAGGGAAGAAGCGACUGGGUUUUCCUGGGAGUGACGGUACCUGCAGAAAAAGCACCGGCUAACUACGUGCCAGCAGCCGCGGUAAUACGUAGGGUGCAAGCGUUGUCCGGAAUUAUUGGGCGUAAAGAGCUCGUAGGCGGUUUGUCGCGUCUGCUGUGAAAACCCGAGGCUCAACCUCGGGCCUGCAGUGGGUACGGGCAGACUAGAGUGCGGUAGGGGAGAUUGGAAUUCCUGGUGUAGCGGUGGAAUGCGCAGAUAUCAGGAGGAACACCAAUGGGAAGGCAGAUCUCUGGGCCGUAACUGACGCUGAGGAGCGAAAGCAUGGGGAGCGAACAGGAUUAGAUACCCUGGUAGUCCAUGCCGUAAACGUUGGGAACUAGAUGUGGGGACCAUUCCACGGUCUCCGUGUCGCAGCUAACGCAUUAAGUUCCCCGCCUGGGGAGUACGGCCGCAAGGCUAAAACUCAAAGGAAUUGACGGGGGCCCGCACAAGCGGCGGAGCAUGCGGAUUAGUUCGAUGCAACGCGAAGAACCUUACCAAGGCUUGACAUAUACCGGAAACGGCUGGAAACAGUCGCCCCGCAAGGUCGGUAUACAGGUGGUGCAUGGUUGUCGUCAGCUCGUGUCGUGAGAUGUUGGGUUAAGUCCCGCAACGAGCGCAACCCUCGUCCUAUGUUGCCAGCACGUAAUGGUGGGAACUCAUGGGAUACUGCCGGGGUCAACUCGGAGGAAGGUGGGGAUGACGUCAAAUCAUCAUGCCCCUUAUGUCUUGGGCUUCACGCAUGCUACAAUGGCCGGUACAAAGGGCUGCGAUACCGCAAGGUGGAGCGAAUCCCAAAAAGCCGGUCUCAGUUCGGAUUGAGGUCUGCAACUCGACCUCAUGAAGUCGGAGUCGCUAGUAAUCGCAGAUCAGCAACGCUGCGGUGAAUACGUUCCCGGGCCUUGUACACACCGCC
rnacentral:rRNA from 1 species